CCGCCUCCUCCGCCGCCGCCCCCUUCCCCCUUCCCACCACCCCCAGUGCCGGAGCCAUGGCGGGCGCCGCGUCCCCCUGCGCCAAUGGCUGCGGGCCCGGCGCGCCCUCGGACGCCGAGGUGCUGCACCUCUGCCGCAGCCUCGAGGUGGGCACCGUCAUGACUUUGUUCUACUCCAAGAAGUCGCAGCGGCCGGAGCGGAAGACCUUCCAGGUCAAGCUGGAGACGCGGCAGAUCACGUGGAGCCGUGGCGCCGACAAGAUCGAGGGGGCCAUUGACAUUCGAGAAAUCAAGGAGAUCCGCCCAGGGAAGACCUCACGGGAUUUUGAUCGCUACCAAGAGGAUCCUGCUUUCCGAACAGACCAGUCACACUGCUUUGUCAUACUGUAUGGGAUGGAGUUCCGCCUGAAGACCCUGAGCCUGCAAGCUACAUCUGAGGAUGAAGUGAACAUGUGGAUCAAGGGGUUAACUUGGCUGAUGGAAGAUACAUUGCAGGCGGCCACACCUCUGCAGAUUGAAAGGUGGCUGAGGAAGCAGUUCUAUUCGGUGGAUCGGAAUCGUGAGGAUCGUAUAUCAGCCAAGGACCUGAAGAACAUGCUGUCCCAGGUCAACUACCGGGUCCCCAACAUGCGCUUCCUCCGAGAGCGUCUGACGGACCUGGAGCAGCGCAGCAGUGACAUCACCUAUGGGCAGUUUGCUCAGCUGUACCGCAGCCUCAUGUACAGCGCCCAGAAGACGAUGGACCUCCCCUUCUUGGAAGCCAGUGCCCUGAGGGCGGUGGAGCGGCCGGAGCUCUGUCGCAUGUCCCUUCCUGAGUUCCAGCAGUUCCUCCUCGAGUACCAGGGGGAGCUGUGGGCCGUCGACCGGCUUCAGGUGCAAGAAUUUAUGCUCAGCUUUCUCCGAGACCCCUUGCGAGAGAUUGAAGAGCCGUACUUCUUCCUGGAUGAGUUUGUCACCUUCCUGUUCUCCAAAGAGAACAGUGUGUGGAACUCACAGCUGGAUGCAGUGUGCCCAGAAACCAUGAACAACCCCCUCUCCCACUACUGGAUCUCCUCCUCCCACAACACAUACCUGACCGGGGACCAGUUCUCCAGCGAGUCCUCCCUGGAAGCGUACGCUCGCUGCCUGCGGAUGGGCUGUCGCUGCAUUGAGUUGGACUGCUGGGAUGGCCCAGAUGGGAUGCCAGUCAUUUACCAUGGACACACCCUUACCACCAAGAUCAAGUUCUCAGACGUCCUGCACACUAUCAAGGAGCACGCCUUUGUGGCCUCAGAGUACCCGGUCAUCCUGUCCAUUGAGGACCAUUGCAGCAUUGCCCAGCAGAGGAACAUGGCACAGUACUUCAAGAAGGUGCUUGGGGACACACUCCUUACCAAGCCUGUGGACAUCGCUGCCGAUGGACUCCCCUCACCCAACCAGCUCAAGAGGAAGAUCCUUAUCAAGCACAAGAAGCUGGCAGAGGGCAGUGCCUAUGAAGAGGUGCCUACAUCAGUGAUGUACUCCGAGAACGAUAUCAGCAACUCCAUCAAGAAUGGCAUCCUCUACCUGGAGGACCCUGUGAACCACGAGUGGUAUCCCCACUACUUCGUCCUGACCAGCAGCAAAAUCUACUACUCUGAGGAGACGAGCAGUGACCAGGGCAACGAGGAUGAGGAGGAGCCCAAGGAGGCCAGUGGCAGCACAGAGCUGCACUCCAGUGAGAAAUGGUUCCACGGGAAGCUCGGGGCAGGACGGGAUGGGCGGCACAUCGCUGAGCGCCUGCUUACCGAGUACUGCAUCGAGACCGGGGCCCCUGAUGGCUCUUUCCUCGUGCGAGAGAGCGAGACCUUCGUGGGCGACUAUACACUCUCUUUCUGGCGGAAUGGGAAAGUCCAGCACUGCCGGAUCCACUCUCGGCAGGACGCUGGGGCCCCCAAGUUCUUCUUGACAGACAACCUGGUCUUUGACUCGCUCUAUGACCUCAUCACACACUACCAGCAGGUGCCCCUACGCUGCAACGAAUUUGAGAUGCGCCUCUCAGAGCCAGUCCCGCAGACCAAUGCCCACGAGAGCAAAGAGUGGUACCAUGCCAGCCUGACCAGAGCUCAGGCCGAGCACAUGCUGAUGCGUGUCCCCCGGGAUGGGGCCUUCCUGGUGAGGAAACGGAAUGAGCCCAACUCCUACGCCAUCUCCUUCCGGGCUGAGGGCAAGAUCAAGCAUUGCCGCGUCCAGCAGGAGGGCCAGACGGUGGUCCUGGGCAACUCAGAGUUCGACAGCCUCGUGGACCUCAUCAGCUACUAUGAGAAGCACCCACUGUACCGCAAGAUGAAGCUGCGCUAUCCCAUCAACGAGGAGGCGCUGGAGAAGAUCGGCACAGCUGAGCCAGACUACGGGGCCCUGUAUGAGGGCCGCAACCCAGGCUUCUAUGUGGAGGCGAAUCCUAUGCCAACUUUCAAGUGUGCAGUCAAAGCACUCUUUGACUACAAGGCCCAGAGAGAGGAUGAGCUGACUUUCACUAAGAGCGCCAUCAUCCAGAACGUGGAGAAGCAAGAAGGUGGCUGGUGGCGGGGGGACUAUGGUGGGAAGAAGCAGCUGUGGUUCCCGUCAAACUACGUGGAAGAGAUGGUCAGCCCCGCAGCCCUGGAGCCUGAGAGGGAGCACUUGGACGAGAACAGCCCCUUGGGGGAUUUGCUCCGGGGGGUCUUGGAUGUGCCAGCUUGUCAGAUUGCCAUCCGUCCCGAGGGCAAGAACAACCGGCUGUUCGUCUUCUCCAUCAGUAUGGCUUCCGUGGCGCACUGGUCCCUGGAUGUCGCUGCUGACUCACAAGAGGAGCUGCAGGACUGGGUGAAGAAAAUCCGAGAAGUGGCCCAGACGGCAGACGCCAGGCUCACGGAGGGCAAGAUGAUGGAGCGGAGGAAGAAGAUCGCCCUGGAGCUCUCCGAGCUGGUUGUCUACUGUCGGCCUGUUCCCUUUGAUGAAGAGAAGAUUGGCACAGAACGUGCCUGCUACCGGGACAUGUCGUCCUUCCCGGAAACCAAGGCUGAGAAAUACGUGAACAAGGCCAAAGGCAAGAAGUUUCUCCAGUACAACCGGCUGCAGCUCUCCCGCAUCUACCCCAAGGGCCAGCGGCUGGACUCUUCCAAUUACGACCCCUUGCCCAUGUGGAUCUGUGGCAGUCAGCUCGUGGCUCUCAACUUCCAGACCCCAGACAAGCCUAUGCAGAUGAACCAGGCCCUCUUCAUGGCCGGUGGCCACUGUGGCUACGUGCUGCAGCCGAGCACCAUGCGGGAUGAGGCCUUUGAUCCCUUUGACAAGAGCAGCCUCCGAGGCCUGGAGCCAUAUGCCAUCUGCAUCGAGGUGCUGGGGGCCCGGCACCUGCCGAAGAAUGGCCGAGGCAUUGUGUGUCCUUUUGUGGAGAUUGAGGUGGCCGGAGCAGAGUAUGACAGCAUCAAACAGAAGACAGAAUUUGUGGUGGACAACGGACUGAACCCUGUUUGGCCCGCCAAGCCCUUCCACUUCCAGAUCAGUAACCCGGAAUUCGCCUUCCUGCGCUUUGUGGUGUAUGAGGAGGACAUGUUCAGUGACCAGAACUUCCUGGCUCAGGCCACCUUCCCAGUAAAGGGCUUGAAGGCAGGAUACAGAGCCGUACCUUUGAAGAACAACUACAGUGAGGACCUGGAGCUGGCCUCCCUGCUCAUCAGGAUCGAGGUUUUCCCUGCCAAGCAGGAGAACGGUGACGUCAGUCCCUUCAGUAGUAUGUCUCUGCGCGAGCGGGGCUCCGAUGCCUCGGGUCAGCUGUUCCAUGGCCGGGGCCGGGAAGGUUCCUUUGAAGCCCGCUACCAGCAGCCGUUUGAGGACUUUCGUAUCUCCCAAGAGCAUCUGGCAGACCAUUUUGACAGUCGGGAACGGAGGGCCCCACGAAGGACUCGGGUCAACGGGGACAACCGCCUCUAGUUGUGUGCCAGCCUCGUUGAGAGCAGCGGGUGCCAUGCACCUCGUGGAGUGCCGUGAGCCGGGUUCUUGAGAAGUGGCCUGUCGUGGCAGCCUUCCUGGCCCCGUAGCCUGGAGCCUGGAUUCCAGCAGUGACUGCUAGACAAAACCAAGCCAUUAAUGAGUUGUUUUACUGUUCGGGGCCUCCGUGCCCCAGCUCUGGGGGAAGGCAAACACUGUACUGUGUCUCAAAUUAAUUAAGCACACACCUCUGGUCCUGACUUCUGGAGAUGGAGCUUUCCAUCUAUGGGGCCAGGACCAUGGCUGCAGCCCCUUGGAGAGAGGCUGCCUCAGCCUGUGGCACAGGAGGCUCUAAGGAACCGCAGCAGCCUCAUGGGGCCAGGGAAACAAACCCAAGUUUACAUUGUCCUGUAGCUUUAAAACCCCAGCCGGGCAGGGGUGGGGGUAGAUGCCCCCCACGGUUUGGCCCUGGAGCCAGGGCAGAGGAGCACAGGACCUGCCUGGAGAGGGUCCCCCCCUGCUCAAGGAAGAGGACACAGCACAAGGGCAUGUUGCCCGUGGCUGGGAACACAGCCCAGCCUCCAAGAUACAGGGGAUCGUGUUAGAAAUAGCAGCAUUGGGCAAGCCAGGCUGCUGUGGGCCAUGGAGGGUCGCCCUGCAGGCCACUGUGUGAGGGGCCUGAGGAGGCCAAGGCCCAGGGCGCUGCCUGGAAUGGGGACAGCAGCCCCUCAGGACCAUGGGAGGAUGAGGGGGACCCGGAUGUCCUGCCCUGCCUUGGGCUGCACCACCUGCCUGCUGCCCAAAGCCGGGAGGCAGCCCAAGGUUGACACUCGGGAUGUGAGCCUGGAAUCCGGACCUGCUCACUAGGGUAGACGAGUGUGUGGCCGUGCUGGCCGAGCACAGCAGCUCCUGCCACGUUGGGAGGGCGUGCCUCGCUCUGACGCAGAGGCCACCGAGCAAUGGAAGGUCUAACAGCAAGGUCAGCGGACUUGAGGCCUUUGUCGGAGAUGGGUGCCCGCGUGGCCAGAACGGAGGAGCAGGUCGCAGGCCACGCCGGGGAUUUUCCCCAGUACCUUCGGGAAGCUCCUGCACACAACUGACAGGCCCUUCUUCAAGGCACCCUUCAGCAGGUCAGCUAGGGGACCCCUCCCCCCACCCCCGUCCUGUUCCAGACCGAAGACCACUCUCCCUCUUGCAGCAUAAGACCUGGGCUCUGAGUCUGCGGACAGCACUGUGGGAGGAUGUGGAGAUCAGCCCAAAUAUUCAUUAAACCAGUUGAAAGUCCUCUUGCUGGGCAUCUGUGAUGUUGGAGUAUGGAAUUUUAAAGGUUAUUUUUUGCACACCGUUUCCUACCAUGUUCAUUAUUUCACAUAGGAUGUAUGAUUUUCUCUGUCUUCCACUUCUAACCGGAAAGCUGCUUGGUUGGGGGGUGGGGGAAGCAAAACGAAUGAACUGGUCUGUGCACUGUGGCAGAACUGUUAUUUUUAUGGAUUUUACAGCUCAACUAACAGUGUUACCUUUUCAAGAUUUAUAUAUUUAUAUACUCUUAAGAAAAACCACUGAGCCGUUAAAGCCUUGUUAUUCAAUCCUAAUAGUGAUUCAGUUUUCUAUAGUUUACUUUUAGGGUAGAAAGUAAAUUAUUUAACAUUACAUUAAACUUCCCAGAUCAUGGAUUGUAAACCGAAGGAAAUUAUACAAUUUCUGAGAAAAUGUAUUGGUUUAUUUAAACUAAUUCUAAAGUUGUCUUUGCAAGUAUGACCUCGCAAUCCUGUCCAUAGCAAACAUAUCUACAUAUGGCUGCCAACGUUUGGUUUAUAAUCAGAAUAUUAACAAAAAUCGUAAAUUUUAUUAGAAAAGCUUUCCUUUUGAAAAGAACAGCAGUAUUAUUUUUCUUCUCAGUAGUAUUGUAACAAAGUUAGUGACUCUCCUUGCUCCUCACCUUUGGAGGGCAACCUUGGAGCAGAGCCACAGGGAGGGGCCGGCGACCACCCGACAUGUGGGGACAGCUGUGCUACAGAUGGUAAGGCUGUCGGGAACGGGCCAGGGGUGGGAGGAAAACAGCAAAGCUUAUUCUGGUCAGGUGGUUUUUGUUGGAAGGCAAAGACAACGCAGUGUGCGUUCCCUUAGGGACAGAAAAGGGUUAAGGAUCGGCCCGCUGUGUGGGCAGGUGAGGGAGCGGUCACCAUGCAGCUGGCUGCUUCCAUUGAGCUGGUGAGAAGACCCUGGAAAGGAGACGGGAAGGUUGGGAAGGCAGCCCCACGAAGGGGUGCAGGCCCGUGGGCACAAGGGUGCCCUUCGGCACAGCUGGCACUUGGCACACGCAAGCCCACUGCCCUCAUUCGGCCUCAGUUGCCAGUUGUGCUGGCCUCUUAAGAUCUGACUGCCACAUAAAUCGGCCCCGUGUCCUUUUAACUUGGGUGCUCUUUCACGGGCCCCGGGAAGUCGGUUGUCUGGAGACAACUUGUCAGGUGGUUAUUGUGCGGUACAGGCAGGUGGGAAGUUUUUGGCAACUUCCCAGGUCAAGCAUCUCUUCCCUCCUCUGGGCUACGGAGUGGGGUGAGAACACCUGCUCUUCCAGCUCCCCUGCAGACAGGAUGUCCGGGGACAGCAGCCCGAAUCCCUGCAGCUUGCCAACCCUGGUGAGCGGGGAUGCAGCCGGAGCCCUUUCCCAGUUCACAGAAGCCUCCGCCUUUCAAAAGGAGGUUGCCGGGUGCCACUCUGGUUGCCUCGAUAGCUUGCAACCAAAUCUCUGCCCAGAUGUGGUUGAAAAGGCACUGCCCUUACCUUCCUGUGGCUGUUUUCAUGGUGGUCUGCGCCGGUGUAGGUCAAACACGAUGCCACACACAGAGCUGCCUGCCUGGUGGAUGGAUGGGGACGAGCAUUAAAAAGCCAGCCCAGGGAUCCUGAAAAGAUGCAGACUUCAGCUGGCCUCCAGAAGGAUCAAGUCGGGAACAGGCCCCCGUGUCCACCUGGGACCAGAAUCACUGGCCAGCCUUGGUGUGUGUCUGCCCCAGCGUAAUUCUAGAAACCUCACAGUUCUGUCACACAGAAGCCAGGCCUGUGGACACAGCAGCGUGGGAGACGGAGAGAGGAACUUUCCUGAAGCGGGCUGAGGGGAACGGCCUUGCUCAUCCAUCCAAGCUUAAGAUCUGGCUUGCCCACUGAAUAAAUCAGAUGUGAAACGUUUCUAGUUUUUCUGGCUCCCCCACACAAUAAAGUCAGCAGAUGUGAAA